AUGUUUACCUGGCAGGGGAGCUACCAUGAUCAGGAAGGUGGUUUUCCCAGGGCAAGGCUCACCCAUUGCACUCUGGGUGUGUUGACCCUUGCGAUUUACCGAAAUGUGGGAAAUUUGACUGCAUAAUUUGUGAUAGUGGAGGACUGUGUUCACAUUCUCCCC